rnacentral:pre_miRNA from 1 species
UGCAUGUGAGAGCACAACUACUGAUUUAUAUGUGGCGUCGGUAGAAGUGAUGUCACAUGCAUG